rnacentral:rRNA from 1 species
CCGUUACAAGCCUGUACGCUUCGCUAUCACGGUACAGCUAAGUGGCGCACGGGUGAGUAAUAUAUAUGUAAUGUGCCCUACAGAGGGGGAUAUCAGUUGGACACCACUGCUAACACCCCAUAUGCCCUUAAAACUAUCUUUGCCAGGGAAAUAUUUAUAGCUCUAGGAUCGGCCUGUACGGUAUCAUUUAGUUGGUGAGGUAAUGGCUCACCAAGACGAUGACGCCUAACUGGUUUGAGAGGAUGAUCAGUCACACUGGAACUGACACACGGUCCGGACUCCUACGGGAGGCAGCACUGGGGAAUAUUGCACAAUGGGGGAAACCCUGAUGCUGCACCGCCGCGUGAAGGAUGACCCAUUUCGGUGCGUAAACUCCUUUUAUAUAGGAAGAUAAUGACGGUACUAUAUGAAUAAUCCCCGGCUAACUCCGUGCCACCAUCCGCGGUCCUACCGAGGGCGCCCGCGUUACUCACAAUCACUGGGCGUAAAGAGCGUGUAGGCGGGUGAAUAAGUUUGAAGUGAAAUCCUAUAGCUCAACUAUAGAACUGCUUUGAAAACUGAUCACCUAGAAUAUGGGACAGGUAUAUGGAAUUUCUGGUGUAUGGGUAAAAUCCGUACAGAUCAGAAGGAAUACCUAUUGCGAAUGCCAUCUACUGGAACAUAAUUGACGCUGAGACGCGAAAGCGUGGGCAGCUCACUGGACUAUAUCCGCUGCUAAUCCACGCCCUAGACGAUGUAAACUAGUAGUUGUGACGCUGGACCUCGCAGUCAUGCACUAAGCACAUCUAGUGUACCGGCUGGUGCAGUACGGUCGCGCUAAUAAUAACUCCAAUGGAUAGACGGCACGCGCACACGCGCGGAGCAUGAGCUCAAUUGGACGAUACGCGGACCAGCUACCUGUACUGACUUAGUAUGACUUUUCACACAUCGAUAGCGUCUGCUGCAUAACU